rnacentral:rRNA from 2 species
UUAAGCGACUAAGCGUACACGGUGGAUGCCCUGGCAGUCAGAGGCGAUGAAGGACGUGCUAAUCUGCGAAAAGCGCCGGCGAGGUGAUAUGAACCCUUGACCCGGCGAUGUCCGAAUGGGGAAACCCAGUGCAAUCCGUUGCACUAUCGUUAACUGAAUACAUAGGUUAACGAGGCGAACCGGGGGAACUGAAACAUCUAAGUACCCCGAGGAAAAGAAAUCAACCGAGAUUCCCCCAGUAGCGGCGAGCGAACGGGGAGCAGCCCGGAGUCUGAAUCAGCUUGUGUGUUAGUGGAACGGUCUGGAAAGUCCGACGGUACAGGGUGAUAGUCCCGUACACGAAAGCACACUUGCUGUGAACUCGAAGAGUAGGGCGGGACACGUGGUAUCCUGUCUGAAUAUGGGGGGACCAUCCUCCAAGGCUAAAUACUCCUGACUGACCGAUAGUGAACCAGUACCGUGAGGGAAAGGCGAAAAGAACCCCGGCGAGGGGAGUGAAAAAGAACCUGAAACCGUGUACGUACAAGCAGUGGGAGCCUCUUUUAUGGGGUGACUGCGUACCUUUUGUAUAAUGGGUCAGCGACUUAUAUUCUGUAGCAAGGUUAACCGUAUAGGGGAGCCGAAGGGAAACCGAGUCUUAACUGGGCGUUAAGUUGCAGGGUAUAGACCCGAAACCCGGUGAUCUAGCCAUGGGCAGGUUGAAGGUUGGGUAACACUAACUGGAGGACCGAACCGACUAAUGUUGAAAAAUUAGCGGAUGACCUGUGGCUGGGGGUGAAAGGCCAAUCAAACCGGGAGAUAGCUGGUUCUCCCCGAAAGCUAUUUAGGUAGCGCCUCGUGAACUCAUCUUCGGGGGUAGAGCACUGUUUCGGCUAGGGGGCCAUCCCGGCUUACCAACCCGAUGCAAACUACGAAUACCGAAGAAUGUUAUCACGGGAGACACACGGCGGGUGCUAACGUCCGUCGUGAAGAGGGAAACAACCCAGACCGCCAGCUAAGGUCCCAAAGUCAUGGUUAAGUGGGAAACGAUGUGGGAAGGCACAGACAGCCAGGAUGUUGGCUUAGAAGCAGCCAUCAUUUAAAGAAAGCGUAAUAGCUCACUGGUCGAGUCGGCCUGCGCGGAAGAUGUAACGGGGCUAAACCAUGCACCGAAGCUGCGGCAGCGACACUAUGUGUUGUUGGGUAGGGGAGCGUUCUGUAAGCCGUUGAAGGUGUGCUGUGAGGCAUGCUGGAGGUAUCAGAAGUGCGAAUGCUGACAUAAGUAACGAUAAAGCGGGUGAAAAGCCCGCUCGCCGGAAGACCAAGGGUUCCUGUCCAACGUUAAUCGGGGCAGGGUGAGUCGACCCCUAAGGCGAGGCCGAAAGGCGUAGUCGAUGGGAAACAGGUUAAUAUUCCUGUACUUGGUGUUACUGCGAAGGGGGGACGGAGAAGGCUAUGUCAGCCGGGCGACGGUUGUCCCGGUUUAAGCAUGUAGGCGGAGGUUCCAGGUAAAUCCGGUACCUUGUUAACGCUGAGGUGUGAUGACGAGGCACUACGGUGCUGAAGUGAUAAAUGCCCUGCUUCCAGGAAAAGCCUCUAAGCAUCAGGUAACACGAAAUCGUACCCCAAACCGACACAGGUGGUCAGGUAGAGAAUACCAAGGCGCUUGAGAGAACUCGGGUGAAGGAACUAGGCAAAAUGGUGCCGUAACUUCGGGAGAAGGCACGCUGAUGUGUAGGUGAAGCCCCUGCGGGCGGAGCUGAAAUCAGUCGAAGAUACCAGCUGGCUGCAACUGUUUAUUAAAAACACAGCACUGUGCAAACACGAAAGUGGACGUAUACGGUGUGACGCCUGCCCGGUGCCGGAAGGUUAAUUGAUGGGGUUAGCUGUAAGGCGAAGCUCUUGAUCGAAGCCCCGGUAAACGGCGGCCGUAACUAUAACGGUCCUAAGGUAGCGAAAUUCCUUGUCGGGUAAGUUCCGACCUGCACGAAUGGCGUAAUGAUGGCCAGGCUGUCUCCACCCGAGACUCAGUGAAAUUGAACUCGCUGUGAAGAUGCAGUGUACCCGCGGCAAGACGGAAAGACCCCGUGAACCUUUACUAUAGCUUGACACUGAACACUGGUCCUUGAUGUGUAGGAUAGGUGGGAGGCUUUGAAGCGUGGACGCCAGUCUGCGUGGAGCCAACCUUGAAAUACCACCCUUUAAUGGCUGGUGUUCUAACGUAGACCCGUAAUCCGGGUUGCGGACAGUGUCUGGUGGGUAGUUUGACUGGGGCGGUCUCCUCCCAAAGAGUAACGGAGGAGCACGAAGGUUGGCUAAUCCUGGUCGGACAUCAGGAGGUUAGUGCAAUGGCAUAAGCCAGCUUGACUGCGAGCGUGACGGCGCGAGCAGGUGCGAAAGCAGGUCAUAGUGAUCCGGUGGUUCUGAAUGGAAGGGCCAUCGCUCAACGGAUAAAAGGUACUCCGGGGAUAACAGGCUGAUACCGCCCAAGAGUUCAUAUCGACGGCGGUGUUUGGCACCUCGAUGUCGGCUCAUCACAUCCUGGGGCUGAAGUAGGUCCCAAGGGUAUGGCUGUUCGCCAUUUAAAGUGGUACGCGAGCUGGGUUUAGAACGUCGUGAGACAGUUCGGUCCCUAUCUGCCGUGGGCGCUGGAGAAUUGAGGGGGGCUGCUCCUAGUACGAGAGGACCGGAGUGGACGCAUCACUGGUGUUCGGGUUGUCAUGCCAAUGGCACUGCCCGGUAGCUAAAUGCGGAAGAGAUAAGUGCUGAAAGCAUCUAAGCACGAAACUUGCCCCGAGAUGAGUUCUCCCUGAGACCUUGAGUCUCCUGAAGGAACGUUAAAGACUAUGACGUUGAUAGGUCGGGUGUGUAAGCGCAGCGAUGCGUUGAGCUAACCGAUACUAAUGAACCGUGAGGCUUAACCUU